rnacentral:rRNA from 1 species
AAAAAAAACUUCUAAGCUUCAGAUUAUUGCUACCCGUACCGCAAACCGACACAGGUAGUCAAGUAGAAUAUACUAAGGCGCUCGAGUGAAUCAUGGCUAAGGAACUCGGCAAAUUAACCCUGUAACUUCGGGAAAAAGGGUGCCCAUAGCAAUAUGGGCCGCAGUGAAAUAGCGGUGGCGACUGUUUAUCAAAAACACAUGGCUUUGCAAAAUCGAAAGAUGAAGUAUAAGGCCUGACACCUGCCCAAUGCUGGAAGGUUAAGAGGAGAGGUUAGUAGUAAUACAAAGCUUUGAAUCGAAGCCCCAGUGAAUGGCGGCCGUAACGAUAACGGUCCUAAGGUAGCGAAAUUCCUUGUCGGGUAAGUUCCGACCUGCACGAAUGGUGUAACGAUCUCCGCUCUGUCUCAGCCAUGAGCUCGGUGAAAUUGUAGUAUCGGUGAAGAUGCCGAUUACCCGCAACGGGACGGAAAGACCCCGUGCACCUUUACUAUAGCUUAACAUUGACUUUGGAUAACUAAUGUGUAGGAUAGGUGGGAGACUUUGAAGCAGUGGCGCCAGCCAUUGUGGAGUCGUCCUUGAAAUACCACCCUUUGGUUAUUUGAAUUCUAAUCCCUCAAAAGGGGAGACAUUGUUUGGUGGGUAGUUUGACUGGGGUGGCCGCCUCCAAAAUUGUAUCGGAGGCUUUCAAAGGUACCCUCAGCACGCUUGGUAACCGUGCGUAGAGUGCAACAGCAUAAGGGUGCUUGACUGUGAGACCUACAAGUCGAGCAGGGUCGAAAGACGGAUAUAGUGAUCCGGUGGUUACGUGUGGAAGGGCCAUCGCUCAAAGGAUAAAAGGUACGCCGGAUAACAGGCUGAUCACCCCCAAGAGCUCAUAUCGACGGGGUGGUUUGGCACCUCGAUGUCGGCUCGUCACAUCCUGGGGCUGGAGAAGGUCCCAAGGGUUGAGCUGUUCGCUCAUUAAAGUGGCACGCGAGCUGGGUUCAGAACGUCGUGAGACAGUUCGGUCCCUAUCUGUUGUGGGCGUUAGAAAUUUGAGAGGACCUGACUCUAGUACGAGAGGACCGAGUUGGACAGACCUCUAGUGUACCUGUUGUGGCGCCAGCUGCAUUGCAGGGUAGCUACGUCUGGUCGAGAUAAGCGCUGAAAGCAUCUAAGCGCGAAACUCGCCUCAAGAUAAGAUUUCUUUUAAGGGUCGUAAUAGACUAUUACGUUGAUAGGUUGCAAGUGUAAAGGCAGUAAUGUCAAAGCUGAGCAAUACUAAUUACCCU